rnacentral:lncRNA from 1 species
UUUGUCUCUGAUAUCUUGUAGGAUCCUUCCCAGUUCAGAGAUAGCUUUCCUUUAUAUAGAGGUUUUAAAAUUUCUGCUUUUCUUAGGACUAAGUCUCCUGGUCAGAAAACUUUUGGCUUGACUUUGGUGUUAUAGUAUCGAGCUAUCUUUUGCCGGUACGUGGCCAUGCAAAGUUGAGCUUCAUGUCAGAGUUCUGAUAGGAGAUCUAAGUCGGCUCUUCGAUACUCGGAGUUAUCCAAUUCAUUGUAUUGCUCAACUCUUGUCGAUGGUAAUCCGAUCUCGAAUGGGAUCAUCGCCUCCGUCCCGUAGACUAAGUUAAAAAGAGACUCUCCAAUCAGUAUACGGAGAGUUGUCUGAUAUGCCCAUAAGACUGGAUAUAGCUCUUCAACCCAAAGACCUUUAGCCUCAUUCAGUCAGGUCUUUAACCCGUGCAAGAAUAUUUGGUUGGUCACUUCAACCUCUAUAUUUGAUUGUGGGUGCCCGACUGAUGUAAGCUUAUGUAUAAUAUGGAACUUUGUAAAGAAUUCUCUGAAGUCCUAAUUAUCAAAUUGUCAUCUGUUGUCGGUGAUGAUGGUAUGCAACAGUCCGAAUUUGUAGAUGAUAGAUUUUUGGACAAAGUC